rnacentral:rRNA from 1 species
UACGUAGGGUGCGAGCGUUGUCCGGAUUUAUUGGGCGUAAAGAGCUCGUAGGCGGUUUGUCGCGUCGGCCGUGAAAUCUCCACGCUUAACGUGGAGCGUGCGGUCGAUACGGGCAGACUUGGAGUUCGGUAGGGGAGACUGGAAUUCCUGGUGUAGCGGUGAAAUGCGCAGAUAUCAGGAGGAACACCGGUGGCGAAGGCGGGUCUCUGGGCCGGAUACUGACGCUGGAGGAGCGAAAGCGUGGGGAGCGAACAGG